CGGGUAUAUAUGUAAUGCCCCCAAAAUAGGUAUACAUCACCCAUCUUGAGUCGCCAAAUACAUGGUACAAAAUUCAAAUACAACUUAAUAAUAGAACUGUCGUGUAAAAUACGAUAAGACAUAAACUGAGAGUUUUAAUACGAAUAUUGUCUUCUAGACAGUAUUUAAACUCAAAUGGAGUCCUCGAUACAAUUAUUGUAUAACUAUUUUAAGGAAUAGUGAGGACUACUAAUGCAAACAUCUGGACUGUCACUCCGUUCCCCGACUAGUCCCGGCUACGUU
rnacentral:lncRNA from 1 species